rnacentral:tRNA from 1 species
GUACGAAGGGUAGGCUAGUGGACAUGGCAUCUGCCCGGUAAGCGGAACAUUGUGGUUUCGAUUCCCAUCCCUGGACA